rnacentral:rRNA from 1 species
AGUGAACGCUGGCGGUAGGCCUAACACAUGCAAGUCGAACGGCAGCACAGUAAGAGCUUGCUCUUACGGGUGGCGAGUGGCGGACGGGUGAGGAAUACAUCGGAAUCUACUUUUUCGUGGGGGAUAACGUAGGGAAACUUACGCUAAUACCGCAUACGACCUACGGGUGAAAGCAGGGGAUCUUCGGACCUUGCGCGAUUGAAUGAGCCGAUGUCGGAUUAGCUAGUUGGCGGGGUAAAGGCCCACCAAGGCGACGAUCCGUAGCUGGUCUGAGAGGAUGAUCGGCACCACUGAACUGGGGAAACGGUCAGACUCCUACGGGAGGCAGCAGUGGGGAAUAUUGGACAAUGGGCGCAAGCCUGAUCCAGCCAUACCGCGUGGGUGAAGAAGGCCUUCGGGUUGUAAAGCCCUUUUGUUGGGAAAGAAAAGCAGCAGGUUAAUACCCCGCUGUUCUGACGGUACCCAAAGAAUAAGCACCGGCUAACUUCGUG